AACGAACGCUGGCGGCAUGCCUAACACAUGCAAGUCGAACGAGACCUUCGGGUCUAGUGGCGCACGGGUGCGUAACGCGUGGGAAUCUGCCCUUGGGUUCGGAAUAACAGUUAGAAAUGACUGCUAAUACCGGAUGAUGUCGAAAGACCAAAGAUUUAUCGCCCAAGGAUGAGCCCGCGUAGGAUUAGGUAGUUGGUGGGGUAAAGGCCCAGCAAGCCGACGAUCCUUAGCUGGUCUGUGAGGAUGAUCAGCCACACUGGGACUGAGACACGGACCAGACUCCUACGGGAGGAAGCAGUGGGGAAGAUUAGACAAUGGGCGAGAGCCUGAUCCAGCAAUGCCGCGUGAGGGAUGAAGGACUUAGGGUUGUAAAGCUCUUUUACCAGGGAUGAUAAUGACAGUACCUGGAGAAUAAGCUCCGGCUAACUCCGUGCCAGUCGCCGCCGUAAAAC
rnacentral:rRNA from 1 species